CCUACGGGGGGCAGCAGUGAGGAAUAUUGGUCAAUGGGCGCGAGCCUGAACCAGCCAAGUCGCGUGAGGGAAGACGGUCCUAUGGAUUGUAAACCUCUUUUGUCGGGGAGCAAAAGACGCCACGCGUGGCGUUCCGAGAGUACCCGAAGAAAAAGCAUCGGAUAACUCCGUGCCAGCAGCCGCGGUAAUACGGAGGAUGCGAGCGUUAUCCGGAUUUAUGGGGUUUAAAGGGGGCGCAGGCGGAAGAUCAAGUCAGCGGUAAAAUUGAGAGGCUCAACCUCUUCGAGCCGUUGAAACUGGUUUUCUUGAGUGAGUGAGAAGUAUGCGGAAUGCGUGGUGUAGCGGUGAAAUGCAUAGAUAUCACGCAGAACUCUGAUUGCGAAGGCAGCAUACCGGCGCUCAACUGACGCUCAUGCACGAAAGUGUGGGUAUCGAACAGGAUUAGAUACCCUAGUAGUC
rnacentral:rRNA from 1 species